GUCUCAUGAUGCUCCCUUGGGAUGGGCUAAGUCAGUGACAUUCUUCCCGCCGUCACCCGGCUGCCCUCCUGUCUCCUUCCUCUUUGUGCUCACGAUGCAGCCCCUGGGGGUGGAAGAGGAGGGAAGAAAGAAGACGUCACCACUGAUGGGCUGUUUCCUUGCCUGACUCAGUUGGUGUGUCCAUUCUGGAUGGCUGCCUUUCCUCAUGGCCUCUUGGAUGGCUCUCCCAUAAGUUCUGGAGGCUGGAAGCCUGACAUGUGCCAGCACGCUUGGAUUCUGGUGAGAGCCCUCUUUUGGGUUGCAAACUGACUUCUGCUAUUGUCACAACUAGCUCUCUGAUCUCUUCUUUUAAAUUUUUUUUAACGUUUAUUUAUUUUUGAGACAGAGAGAGACAGAGGAUGAAUG